rnacentral:rRNA from 1 species
GUCGUCAGCUCGUGUCGUGAGAUGUACCGUUAAGUCGGAAAACGAGCGCAACCCCUAUCCUAUGUUUUAUAUGUCAUAGGAGACUGCCUACUUUAAGUAGGAGGAAGGAGGGGACGACGUCAAAUCAGCAUGGUUCUUAUACCUUGGGCGACACACGUGCUACAAUGGGAAAUACAACGGGAUGCCAAACCGCGAGGUGGAGCUAAUCCCUCAAAAUUUCUCCCAGUUCGGAUUGGAGUCUGCAACUCGACUCCAUGAAGUCGGAAUCGCUAGUAAUCGCGGAACAGCAUGCCGCGGUGAAUACGUUCCCGGGCCUUGUACACACCGCCCGUCACGCCAUGGAAGUCGGUAGCACCCGAAGUCGCUAGCCAAACCUGCAAAGGAUGGGGGCGCCGAAGGUGAGACUGAUGACUGGGGCGAAGUCGUAACAAGGUAGCCGUACCGGAAGGUGCGGCUGGAUCACCUCCUUU